GGAAGUUUGAAAAGAAGCAAGCCGUCCGCAUUCAUUCAAUCUCACCUCCGACCCACUCAAACUAACCCUAACCCUGCAUUCCAUUGUUUCCAUCAUGGGAAAUCUAAGUGACGCUCUCAAAUUAACAGGAACAUUGCGCAGAAGAUAUGUCCUGGGCAAUGGACUGAGAAAACGGGCAGAGAUUUAGAGGUAUUUGUGCAUGCUCUAUAUUACAGUUGAAAAGUGUAUAACAGCUUUCCAAUGCUGUUACUUGUGGUGAACACCUUUUUGCUUGAGUUGACGCGUGCCCGCAGGUGGAAUAAUGUCACAUGUCACACCGUCCAUAUUUUCUGUUGUUUUGAUUUAUUUACUCAUUCAUCAUUUUAUGUAAGACAAAGACACAAGACCACUUCACACGGUCAAAAAAACUGUUCGGCUUCCCAGGUGUGCGCACCUGUCCUAAUCAACCCACCCAUUAAAUAGACAGGCACAAUAGCACCAUCUGCUGGCACAAAAAAUACAUAACAAUAAACUGCAAAACCCCAAUCUGGCUCCUACAAAGUGUAUGUGACAAGAUGAUUAACGUUUGCUUUUGUUAAAUCAGGGCUUCCCCAGCCAGGACUUCGGCUCAGACUGUGGCAUAUUCAUGUUGAUGGUAGGUCAUAACGAGCUGUAAUGCACAAAUAUUGUAUCUAGAAUAACUUUCCAACAUGGACUUUUUUAAAGUUAUCUCACAUGUUGUCUCAUAAUCUUUUUUUUUUUAAGUCUGCCAUGUACAUCGUUAUGGAGUCACAGUUUGACCACUCAGUUGUAAGUACUUUUCAACACGCAGUGUCAUCCUCAAGGUUGUAUUUUGUAUUGUGCACUAAAAUGAAAUACAAACAACAAUUUCAGCAUGACAUGCCUGUUUUGCGGCGAUGGUGGUGCCUGUUGCUCCUGGAGAACAAUUCUUUGAACAGGUAGACAGUUUAAGUAAACUAGAUGCCCUAAUUAACUGGAAGACAAUCAAUAUAUUGUACUUAAAGAUAAAUUGUCAUUACAGUUGUGGGAAAAUCUUCGCCCACUGGACCAAAGAAUGUCAAGAGCUCAUUGCUGGAAAGCAUACUCCGGUCUUCAGUCUAAAGAGGAAGGCAGAGCAGCAGGACAUAGAGGUUAGAAAAUUGCCUUCUAAAAACAGUAUUAUCUCAGUGGGAGUCCUUCAAAAUGCACACAGUUGUAUGGAUCAACAUUGUCUCGAUGUAUUUGGUAAUUGAUGUUACUUUUCAAAUUGACUUGUCAAGGAAACCAUGACGCAGACGGCAUCGGAUGUC